UGUCAGUUUCAGGGAAGGUGCAAUUCCUUACUGGCGGUGAUGCCGCAUCCGGGAUUCAUAACGGAAAUGCAGGCGAGCCCGCGACCCGCGAGAGCGGCCGAUUCGGUGAGAAUCCGAAGCCAACGGUUACAGUCCGGAUGGAAGAAACGAGGG
rnacentral:ncRNA from 2 species